GUGUGUGUGUGUAUCAAACUGAACAAUGUGGGAUAGGUGUGGAAAAAACCAGCACAGAUGACAUGAGAUCCACAUAAAAACCUCUUCCUCUUCAUCAUUUAAGCCUCUGACAUACCUUAAGGCAGGAAUCCCAAAUGCACUACAUGUGCUCACUACAUAAGCUUUGGAUGACUAAUUCUUCACCAGCUCUUUAUCCUCCAUGUUUUUUUCCUCGUUUGUCCCAACUUGCAACAUGACUGGAGGUAAAGCAAAAAAAAAAAAAUUUUAAUUCUUGACGUCAGUUGGGAAUUUUCUGAAAAGUUGAACCUUGGAUGCUCUUGUGCGACCAAAAAUGCAGACGGGAACGCUAUUCCCAUAAGGCUAAAUGUAAAAUGUGUGAGGGCAGAUGAGAAAAAAUGGCAAGUGGGAACGCACGUCAACACGCCCCUGCUUUGUGUGAGUAUCCACUGUAUAUGUGAAGUGAUAUCAAAUGCUGACAACAUGCUUACCAUUUAAUUUGCUGUAAAGGUUUAUUAUUUUUC
ensembl:lncRNA